rnacentral:rRNA from 1 species
CCUACGGGCGGCAGCAGUAGGGAAUUUUGCGCAAUGGGCGAAAGCCUGACGCAGCAACGCCGCGUGAUCGAGACGCCCUUCGGGGUGUAAAGAUCUGUCAGUGGGGACGAAACUUGACGGUACCUGACUAAGAAGCCCCGGCUAACUACGUGCCAGCAGCCGCGGUAAUACGUAGGGGGCAAGCGUUAUCCGGAUUUACUGGGUGUAAAGGGAGCGUAGACGGCUAAUCAAGUCAGAAGUGAAAACCCAGGGCUCAACUUUGGGACUGCUUUUGAAACUGAGUAGCUAGAGUGCAGGAGAGGUAAGCGGAAUUCCUAGUGUAGCGGUGAAAUGCGUAGAUAUUAGGAGGAACACCAGUGGCGAAGGCGGCUUACUGGACUGUAACUGACGUUGAGGCUCGAAAGCGUGGGGAGCAAACAGGAUUAGAUACCCUUGUAGUC